UCUGGUGGUUCGAGCGAAGAGGCCACACCUGAUCCCAUUCCGAACUCAGUCGUUAAGCUCUUCAGCGCCGAUGAUAGCUUUAAGUGAAAGUAGGCCACUGCCAGGU
rnacentral:rRNA from 1 species